GACGAACGCUGGCGGCGUGCUUAACACAUGCAAGUCGAACGGAAAGGCCCUGCUUUUGUGGGGUGCUCGAGUGGCGAACGGGUGAGUAACACGUGAGUAACCUGCCCUUGACUUUGGGAUAACUUCAGGAAACUGGGGCUAAUACCGGAUAGGAGCUCCUGCUGCAUGGUGGGGGUUGGAAAGUUUCGGCGGUUGGGGGUGGACUCGCGGCUUAUCAGCUUGUUGGUGGGGUAGUGGCUUACCAAGGCUUUGACGGGUAGCCGGCCUGAGAGGGUGACCGGCGACAUUGGGACUGAGAUACGGCCCAGACGCCUACGGGAGGCAGCAGGGGGGAAUAUUGCACAAUGGGCGGAAGCCUGAUGCAGCAACGCCGCGGGCGGGAUGACGGCCUGCGGGUUGUAAACCGCUUUCGCCUGUGACGAAGCGUGAGUGACGGUAAUGGGUAAAGAAGCACCGGCUAACUACGUG
rnacentral:rRNA from 1 species